UGGAUAUUUCUUACGUUUCAA
rnacentral:piRNA from 1 species